AUUGAACGCUGGCGGAAUGCUUUACACAUGCAAGUCGAACGGUAGAGGGGGCAACCCCUUGAGAGUGGCGAACGGGUGAGUAAUAUAUCGGAACGUGCCCAGUCGUGGGGAUAACGUAGCGAAAGUUACGCUAAUACCGCAUACGAUCUAAGGAUGAAAGCGGGGGACUCGCAAGAGCCUCGCGCGAUUGGAGCGGCCGAUAUCAGAUUAGGUAGUUGGUGGGGUAAAGGCUCACCAAGCCAACGAUCUGUAGCUGGUCUGAGAGGACGACCAGCCACACUGGAACUGAGACACGGUCCAGACUCCUACGGAGGCAGCAGUGGGAAUUUUGGACAAUGGACGCAAGUCUGAUCCAGCCAUUCCGCGUGCAGGAUGAAGGCCCUCGGGUUGUAAACUGCUUUUGUACGGAACGAAAAGGGUUUCUAAUUAAUAACUUAGGAGCUCAUGACGGUACCGU
rnacentral:rRNA from 1 species